CAGCUGGGAAAGCUUAUCUGUAUAAAUGUAUUUUCACCCACCAGCAAAGUUGCACAGGGCUGUUUCUUGUGGACCUCUGUAGAGUCUUCUGCUCCUGCUCCAUUGAACAUGAAUCUGAGGACUAGAGCAUGUCCUACUUCAUCCACUUAGGUAGCUUUAAAAAAAAAAGGCUAAAAAGAGCAAAAAGUUACGGACAGAAUGCCAAAGGGGAGAAUAAAGCCAAAAGGAUGGACAUUUUAAAGAAUGUCUGUGUAAGGAAGAGAAAGAGAUCCUGUACUGCUGCCACCACCU